rnacentral:snRNA from 1 species
ACAACAACCGAACCCAACGGCCCUCUUUAGGGCACAAA